UAUGCCUUUCCUCUCCAUCUUCUUCCUCUCUUUCAUCUUCAAAAGAUCAAAGUUCCUCUCCUAAUCUCCAAACCGUGCGGUUCCAAAGCAAAGGAAGGAAAACUUUUUCCUUUCUUCAUCUCCAAAUUGAGUGUGCUUCAUCUCUACCCAUUUUAAUUUUCGUCCAAAGCUUAAAUCCCAAGCUUGUUUUCAUCUUCCAAAGGGUGAAAUCUUGAAGGACCUAUUGUAAAGUCGGAAGUGCCAUGGUGCGUUGAGGUAUUGAUGAUGAGGCUAGGAAGCCAGGCACUAGAACAGAGGGAGAGGUGGAUCGUUAGUAUUCUCCCUUUUGGUUCAACCUUUUGAUGAUGAUAAGUUUAUAUCAAUAGGGGUUUAUGUUUAGGAUGGGUCCCAUGUUGGGACGUUUUGUUGGUUCAACUUUUAAGCUAUGUAUCUUUUAGUAAGGUGUAAUUGUUAUGGUGGGGUGAUGGUAGGCCCUUUUACGUUGACUUAGCACUUUUAUAUGUAUGAUAAGGACAGAAUCCCUUCUUACUUAGAACUUUUUAUGUUUUGAUGAACAUAUUAUAGACUCUGAGAGUCUUUUAUGGAUGAAUGAUUUGUUAGAAUCUCUA